GACGUACUGCGCGAACGUUAUUCGGAAUCACUGGGCUUAAAGGGUGCGCAGGCGGCUCGCCAAGCCCGAAGUGAAAUGCCCCGGCCCAACCGGGGACGUGCUUCGGGGACUGGCGGGCUCGGGCGAGCUAGGGGUCCGUGGAACUCCCGGUGGAGCGGUGAAAUGUGUUGAGAUCGGGAGGAACGCCGGUGGCGAAAGCGACGGACUGGGGCUUUGCCGACGCUCAUGCACGAAAGCCAGGGGAGCGAACGGG
rnacentral:rRNA from 1 species